rnacentral:rRNA from 1 species
GAUGAACGCUGGCGGCGUGCCUAAUACAUGCAAGUCGAGCGAAUGGAUUAAGAGCUUGCUCUUAUGAAGUUAGCGGCGGACGGGUGAGUAACACGUGGGUAACCUGCCCGUAAGACUGGGAUAACUCCGGGAAACCGGGGCUAAUACCGGAUAACAUUUUGAACCGCAUGGUUCGAAAUUGAAAGGCGGCUUCGGCUGUCACUUAUGGAUGGACCCGCGUCGCAUUAGCUAGUUGGUGAGGUAACGGCCCACCAAGGCAACGAUGCGUAGCCGACCUGAGAGGGUGAUCGGCCACAGUGGGACUGAGACACGGCCCAGACUCCUACGGGAGGCAGCAGUGGGAAUCUUCCGCAAUGGACGAAAGUCUGACGGAGCAACGCCGCGUGAGUGAUGAAGGCUUUCGGGUCGUAAAACUCUGUUGUUAGGGAAGAACAAGUGCUAGUUGAAUAAGCUGACACCUUGACGGUACCUAACCAGAAAGCCACGGCUAACUACGUGCCAGCCGCCGCGGUAA